CAGCAGUCGCCGCGGUAAAACGAGGGGGGCAAGCGUUGUUCGGAAUUAUUGGGCGUAAAGGGUGCGUAGGCGGCCCCGCAAGUCCUGUGUGAAAUCCACAAGCUCAACUUGUGGCCUGCACGGGAAACUGCUGGGCUGGAGUAUGGGAGAGGUGAGUGGAAUUCCUGGUGUAGCGGUGAAAUGCGUAGAUAUCAGGAGGAACACCUGUGGCGAAAGCGGCUCACUGGACCAUAACUGACGCUGAGGCACGAAAGCUAGGGGAGCAAACAGGAUUAGAUACCCCCGUAGUCCCUGUCUCUUAUAC
rnacentral:rRNA from 1 species